rnacentral:rRNA from 1 species
UACGUAGGGGGCUAGCGUUGUCCGGAAUCAUUGGGCGUAAAGCGCGCGUAGGCGGCCAGAUAAGUCCGGUGUGAAAGUCACAGGCUCAACCUGUGAAUGCCGCUGGAAACUGUCUGGCUAGAGUCCGGAAGGGGCGAGUGGAAUUCCUGGUGUAGCGGUGAAAUGCGCAGAUAUCAGGAGGAACACCAAUGGCGAAGGCAGCUCGCUGGAACGGUACUGACGCUGAGGCGCGAAGGCGUGGGGAGCGAACGGG